CAGAGAGACCAAGAUACUGAAGUAAAGAACUCACUUCCUUGUCAUCCAGAGACAACCAGAUCAUAAAGGGGAAAAGAGGCUGGGCAAGUUCUUGGAGUUUUCCAUGGUGAUUUUGAGACAGCAGCAAAGUCUCUUUAGGAGAAGAAAAGUGGACAUAAAUUAUUCGAUAGUCAAUCUGGGUUCCUUCAGAGCUCUCCGGCAGCCGGACCACGUCAUCUAGAUGUCUGGCUUUUGGUACCCAUGUAAAAAGAAACUUCAUUAUUGAAUUAAAAUAUAUUUGUAUUCUGCACCCCACCAACUCCAACUUUUCCCACAUCAUCUCCUCCUCAAAUUCAAGGCCUUUAAUUACUCGUUAAUUACUACUGUUUCAUGCAUAUGCAAAUGAAUACGUAAAUGCCA
ensembl:lincRNA Gm4035 predicted gene 4035